GCCAGACACAACACACGAUAUUGGGAUAAAGGCUGUCACCCCACGACAAAAACUAAACAGUUACAAGGAAGAAAUGAUGAAUGCAGCUAUUGAAAAGCUACAGAACUGGCAUGAAACAACAUUUGCAAGAAAGAUACAUGGCCUGCAAAUGAAGGAAAAGAUGCUACGAGAUUCCAGGAAGAAUGAAACAAAACAUGAAAUAGUAGAAGGGAAAAAAAAACUUGUGUGGAAAAUGCAAAACAUAUGUCUGCAGUACAGAUGACAUCAGAAUUAUAAAGGAUGCUCAUCACACUGUCUUAGGUGAUGCGUUCAAGGAGCGUUAUACAACAAAACCCCACAAGAAACGGAUUCAUUUUGAUGGUUUUGAGAAAAAAAGCAAGAUGCAUUGCCGAAAUACUGAGUGCCAG